rfam:Rhodnius prolixus Rhodnius_prolixus-3.0.3-760.2, whole genome shotgun sequence.
UGAACGGCCCUUUUCAGGGCCACCCAACUGUACGGCUUGAUGUAUA